UACGUAGGAGGCGAGCGUUGUCCGGAAUUACUGGGCGUAAAGCGUGCGCAGGCGGUUUUGUAAGUCUGUCGUGAAAUCCCCGGGCUCAACCUGGGAAUUGCGAUGGAGACUGCAAGGCUAGAAUCUGGCAGAGGGGGGUAGAAUUCCACGUGUAGCAGUGAAAUGCGUAGAGAUGUGGAGGAACACCGAUGGCGAAGGCAGCCCCCUGGGUCAAGAUUGACGCUCAUGCACGAAAGCGUGGGGAGCAAACAGG
rnacentral:rRNA from 1 species